rnacentral:rRNA from 1 species
ACGAACGCUGGCGGCGUGCCUAAUACCUGCAAGUAGAACGCACAGUUUAUACCGUAGCUUGCUACACCAUAGACUGUGAGUUGCGAACGGGUGAGUAACGCGUAGGUAACCUGCCUGGUAGCGGGGGAUAACUAUUGGAAACGAUAGCUAAUACCGCAUAAUAUUGAUUAUUGCAUGAUAAUUGAUUGAAAGAUGCUAUUGCAUCACUACCAGAUGGACCUGCGUUGUAUUAGCUAGUAGGUGAGGUAACGGCUCACCUAGGCGACGAUACAUAGCCGACCUGAGAGGGUGAUCGGCCACACUGGGACUGAGACACGGCCCAGACUCCUACGGGAGGCAGCAGUAGGGAAUCUUCGGCAAUGGACGAAAGUCUGACCGAGCAACGCCGCGUGAGUGAAGAAGGUUUUCGGAUCGUAAAGCUCUGUUGUAAGAGAAGAACGGGUGUGAGAGUGGAAAGUUCACACUGUGACGGUAUCUUACCAGAAAGGGACGGCUAACUACGUG